UACGGAGGGGGCGAGCGUUGUUCGGAAUCACUGGGUGUAAAGGGUGCGUAGGCGGUGCGUUAAGUCUGAUGUGAAAGCCCUGGGCUCAACUCAGGAAUUGCAUUGGAAACUGGCGUGCUGGAGUACCGGAGAGGGAAGCGGAAUUCCUGGUGUAGCGGUGAAAUGCGCAGAUAUCAGGAAGAACACCCGUGGCGAAAGGCGGCUCUCUGGGGACGGUA
rnacentral:rRNA from 1 species